rnacentral:rRNA from 1 species
AGUGAAUAGAUACCCUGGUAGUCCACGCCGUAAACGAUGAUCACUCGCUGUUGGCGAUACACAGUCAGCGGCUAAGCAAAAGCAUUAAGUGAUCCACCUGGGGAGUACGGCCGCAAGGCUGAAACUCAAAGGAAUUGACGGGGGCCCGCACAAGCGGAGGAAACAUGUGGUUUAAUUCGAUGAUACGCGAGGAACCUUACCUGGGCUUAAAUGUAGAGUGCAUGAGGUGGAAACACUUCUUUCCUUCGGGACUCUUUGCAAGGUGCUGCAUGGUUGUCGUCAGCUCGUGCCGUGAGGUGUCGGGUUAAGUCCCAUAACGAGCGCAACCCUUAUCGUUAGUUGCCAGCGGGUAAUGCCGGGAACUCUAGCGAAACUGCCGGUGUAAACCGAGAGGAAGGUGGGGAUGACGUCAAAUUAGCACGGCCCUUAUGUCCAGGGCUACACACGUGUUACAAUGGCCGGUACAGAGGGCAGCUACCUGUUGACAGGAUGCGAAUCUCGAAAGCCGGUCUCAGUUCGGAUCGGAGUCUGCAAC